GUAGCUACGUCCAAGUGGCUUGUUUGAGGACAUCAAUCGAGGGACAACUUAGAAGCUUUUGAGAAGUUUUUAAAUAUAACGUUACCGUUAAAUAGCGCAGUUGUUCAAGUUGUCUCACGACAUUAACAGGACAGCACAGUACUAAACAACCACUUGCUUGGUGACUGGUGACUAAUAGGCGGCCGACGGUCACACUUCACCUGGCUGUGAACCGGGUUCCCGUUGAGGUAGCAAUGAUGUCUCGUCGCCCCGCAGAAACUGCCCAAAGCGAACCAGAGAAGAGAGUCCAGAGGCGGGAUCUUUAGCUAGCUACUUCUCCUGCUCCUCGCUCGGUUCUCGCGGGGCAGCAGUCUGCGCUCAGCGGUGAUCGUGAGGGCGGACACACCACGCCGAAAGAGGGAGCUCCUCUCCUGUCGCUGUCCGACCCCGGAGCCUCUGUCUGCCUCUGCUCGCCUGGCUGCCGGGGAUGUGCAGCACCUCAUCUAACUAAGCUAGCUUUGGAUCUUUUUCUUCAAGAUACAGAGGCAGAAAGAAAGAGAAGCAGAGGGAAAGAGAGGGGCCUGGUCCCUCACGAAAGCCCACCUAUCUAUCUAGCGAUUUAUCUGACUGGUGAUAUAAUUGAAAGCAAUUAGCCGACUCGCUCUAUUAGCUCUAACAAUGCAUCCCUAUCCAUAACAUGUUCUGUCCAAAA